UUAUUGUUUAGAGUCUACAUCCCCAAUCAUAUCCCCAUCAACCCAUGUGAGCAAGCAGUUGUUUUUCUUCUGUGUUUCUACUCCCACAGUUCUUUCUCUGGAUUCCAAUUCAAUUUAAAACACCAUUAUAUAACUGGCUCUCUUGGAAAAAGAUGGACAAAAAAUAAUAUCCCAUCCAGAAACCUUAACACAUUUAUCCAUCAGUUCAAAUGCCAUCUGUCCAUGGAAGAAGAAAUGCAAGAAGAUGAUAUAAUGAUGCGAACUUUUUACAGACUGAGGACCCAAACUGCAAAUCUCACACUGAUGUGAACAGAUCCCACCUUAUCUCAGACAGGGAAAGGAGAAAGCAGUCACAUUGAGCUGCUGGGUAAAUGGGCAGAUGAAGAAAGAAAUGUCCUCAGAUGUGCAGAGAGGGGGAGGGCAUAAACCCCCUCCAGCACAUGUGUCUUUGUCAUAGUUCUAAACUCCUGGCUACAACCCCAGCUCCUGGCUCUGGCUCCUGCUCCUGGAUAUUGUGCUCACCUGGUCCCAGCACUGCCCACCCCUGUGGUCUCUCUUGCUCACUUGCUCAUCUAGCCCAGCUGAUCCCAGCCCCAGCAACUCUGGCCUCCAACCCAGAUGGCUCAUCACCCCAGGACCCAGACUUCUGGUAGCAGACCCAAUUUCUUCAGGAUCAAAAACCAGCUGGUAAAAAAGUGGGGGUGUUUUUUCUUUAGGCUAGAAUUAGCCACCAGGUGAACUGGGGGCAGGAGAUCACAGUGAGGGAGAAAGACGGGAAGAAGGAAGAG
rnacentral:lncRNA from 1 species